rnacentral:rRNA from 1 species
GCAUAUCAAUAAGCGGAGGAAAAGAAGACUAACAAGGAUUCCCCUAGUAACUGCGAGUGAAGCGGGAAAAGCUCAAAUUUAAAAGCUGGCGGUCUUUGGCCGUCCGCGUUGUAAUCUAGAGAAGUGUUACCCGCGUUGGACCGUGUACAAGUCUCCUGGAAUGGAGCGUCAUAGAGGGUGACAAUCCCGUCUUUGACACGGACUCCCAAGGCUUUGUGGUGCGCUCUCAAAGAGUCGAGUUGUUUGGGAAUGCAGCUCAAAAUGGGUGGUAAAUUCCAUCUAAAGCUAAAUAUUGGCGAGAGACCGAUAGCGAACAAGUACCGUGAGGGAAAGAUGAAAAGAACUUUGGAAAGAGAGUUAAACAGUACGUGAAAUUGCUGAAAGGGAAACGCUUGAAGUCAGUCGCGUCGUCCGGAGAUCAACCUUGCUUUUGCUGGGCGUACUCUCCGGUUGACGGGCCAGCAUCAGUUUUAGUCGCUGGAAAAGGGCGGAGGGAAUGUGGCAUCUUCGGAUGUGUUAUAGCCCUUCGUCGUAUACAGUGGUUGGGACUGAGGAACUCAGCACGCCGCAAGGCCGGGAUUUAUCCACGUUCGUGCUUAGGAUGCUGGCAUAAUGGCUUUAAUCGACCCGUCUUGAAACACGGACCAAGGAGUCUAACAUGCCUGCGAGUGUUUGGGUGGAAAACCCGAGCGCGUAAUGAAAGUGAAAGUUGAGAUCCCUGUCGUGGGGAGCAUCGACGCCCGGACCAGACCUUUUGUGACGGAUCUGCGGUAGAGCAUGUAUGUUGGGACCCGAAAGAUGGUGAACUAUGCCUGAAUAGGGUGAAGCCAGAGGAAACUCUGGUGGAGGCUCGUAGCGAUUCUGACGUGCAAAUCGAUCGUCAAAUUUGGGUAUAGGGGCGAAAGACUAAUCGAACCAUCUAGUAGCUGGUUCCUG